rnacentral:rRNA from 1 species
CCCCUUAGAUGUUCUGGGCCGCACGCGUGCUACACUGAGUGGAUCAGCGGGUCAGGUUGCGCGAAAGCGUUUCCUAAUCUUUAAAUCCGCUCGUGAUGGGGAUUGACGGUUGCAAUUUUCUGUCAUGGACGAGGAAUACCUUGUAAGCGCGGGUCAUCAUCCCGCGCUGAAUACGUCCCUGCCCUUUGUACACACCGCCCGUCGCUCCUACCGAUUGAGUGGUCCGGUGAGGCUUUGGGAUCUGAGCGGAAAGAGCGUUUCGCUGUUUCUGCUCGGAAAACUCAGUCGAACCUUAUCAUUUAGAGGAAGGAGAAGUCGUAACA